GUCAAUUUAAUUCUUGUUAUACCAGUACUCACUGGAAUUAUGCUAAACGGAUUCUCAGGUAUUUAAAGAGAACUAAAAAUUAUUGUAUAAGGUAUAUAAAAGGAAGUUUUGAAUUGUUGGGAUUUGCUGAUGCUGACUGGGCUAAUAAUAGUAUUGACCGGAAAUCAUAUACAGGGUAUUGCUUUGUGAUGUCAGGGGGUGUCAUAUCAUGGGAAAGUAGAAAACAAAGGACUGUGGCUCUUUCCAGUAUGGAAGCUGAGUACAUGUCAAUGGCAGAGGCAUGCAAAGAAUUAAUGUAUUUGAGAGUAUUGUUGUCUGAAGUCACUAAUCAAGAUGUAUGUCCUAUUACCUUAUACAAUGAUAGCCAGAGUGCUCAAAAAUUUGUUGUUAAUCAUGCUUUGAAUAGGAAAAGUAAACAUAUAGAUAUCCGUUAUCAUUUCCUAAGAGAUGCUGUUAGUAGUAAUAUUAUAAAUAUUGAAUAUGUGUGUACUAAUGAUAUGCCAGCUGAUGUUCUUACAAAGGCACUCGGUGUGACAAAGCAUUACCAAUGCAUUGAAGCUUUAGGAAUUUGUUAAUUUGUAAAGAGUUGUUAAUUUGUAAAGUAAGUUUCAUGUGAUGUAGUGGGGGUGUUAUAAUAAUACAUCAAAUGAAACAAAUGGUGCCAUCUAUUGGUGAUGUUGUAGAGUAAUUGAAUAUUGAUUGUAAUCUGUUGAAUUGAUUGAAUGAUUAGCUUUUGUAACUCUUUCCUUUAAUUGUAUAAAGUAGUUCGCUGUUCGCCACCAUUGUGUAAACUUGUCGUCUUUAUUAAAUUAUAAUUAUUACUAACAGUUUA